GAUGAACGCUGGCGGCGUGCUUAACACAUGCAAGUCGAACGAAGCAUUUGCGACAGAUUUUUUCGGAAUGAAGUUGCUUAUGACUGAGUGGCGGACGGGUGAGCAACGCGUGGGUAACCUGCCUUGUACUGGGGGAUAGCAGCUGGAAACGGCUGGUAAUACCGCAUAAGCGCACAAUGUUGCAUGACAUGGUGUGAAAAACUCCGGUGGUAUAAGAUGGACCCGCGUCUGAUUAGCUAGUUGGUGAGAUAACAGCCCACCAAGGCGACGAUCAGUAGCCGACCUGAGAGGGUGACCGGCCACAUUGGGACUGAGACACGGCCCAGACUCCUACGGGAGGCAGCAGUGGGGAAUAUUGCACAAUGGAGGAAACUCUGAUGCAGCGACGCCGCGUGAGUGAAGAAGUAAUUCGUUAUGUAAAGCUCUAUCAGCAGGGAAGAUAGUGACGGUACCUGACGAAGAAGCUCCGGCUAAAUACGUG
rnacentral:rRNA from 1 species